GGCGAUGAGGGCAAACAUCAAUGCCGGCUUUCUCCCGAAUCGCCAACCCAAAAGAUCGGCA
rnacentral:tRNA from 1 species